rnacentral:pre_miRNA from 1 species
UACAGUGAUCAGGUUACGAUGGAUUUCUGAAGUAACAGCCUCGUAGCUUGGUCACCAUAUC